rnacentral:piRNA from 1 species
UGGGAAGUGUUGUCUUUGAGGGCGUUGGU